rnacentral:snRNA from 1 species
UUGCUUCAGCAGUACACAUAAUAAAUGGAAUGACAGAGAUUGCCAUGGCCCCUGCACUAAGGUGACCCUGACAUUCAUGAUGAAUCCCAUAUUGAA